rnacentral:rRNA from 1 species
GGCGCGCUUACACAUGCAAGUCGAGCGAUGAAAUCUUGACAGAACCCUUCGGGGCGAAGAUAAGAUGGAUUAGCGGCGGACGGGUGAGUAACACGUGAGUAACCUGCCUUAGACAUUGGGAUAGCCUCGGGAAACCGGGAUUAAUACCAAAUGAAAUCACAUAUGCACAUGCAUAAAUGAUCAAAGCUCCGGCGGUCUAAGAUGGACUCGCGUCCCAUUAGCUAGUUGGUGAGGUAACGGCCCACCAAGGCGACGAUGGGUAGCCGGCCUGAGAGGGUGAACGGCCACAUUGGAACUGAGAAACGGUCCAAACUCCUACGGGAGGCAGCAGUGGGGAAUAUUGCACAAUGGAGGGAACUCUGAUGCAGCGACGCCGCGUGAACGAAGAAGGCUUUCGAGUCGUAAAGUUCUUUUAUAUGGGAAGAUAAUGACGGUACCAUAAGAAAAAGCCCCGGCUAACUACGUGCCAGCAGCCGCGGUAAUACGUAGGGGGCUAGCGUUGUCCGGAAUCACUGGGCGUAAAGGGUUCGCAGGCGGAAAUGCAAGUCAGGUGUAAAAGGCAGUAGCUUAACUACUGUAAGCAUUUGAAACUGCAUAUCUUGAGAAGAGUAGAGGUAAGUGGAAUUUUUAGUGUAGCGGUGAAAUGCGUAGAUAUUAAAAAGAAUACCGGUGGCGAAGGCGACUUACUGGGCUCAUUCUGACGCUGAGGAACGAAAGCGUGGGUAGCAAACAGGAUUAG